UUUGUUUCGACGCCGGACCGCGUAAGAGACGAUGAUGUUGGGCACCGAAGGUGGAGAGGGAUUCGUGGUGAAGGUCCGGGGCUUGCCCUGGUCUUGCUCGGCCGAUGAAGUGCAGAGGUUUUUUUCUGACUGCAAAAUUCAAAAUGGGGCUCAAGGUAUUCGUUUCAUCUACACCAGAGAAGGCAGACCAAGUGGCGAGGCUUUUGUUGAACUUGAAUCAGAAGAUGAAGUCAAAUUGGCCCUGAAAAAAGACAGAGAAACUAUGGGACACAGAUAUGUUGAAGUAUUCAAGUCAAACAACGUUGAAAUGGAUUGGGUGUUGAAGCAUACUGGUCCAAAUAGUCCUGACACGGCCAAUGAUGGCUUUGUACGGCUUAGAGGACUUCCCUUUGGAUGUAGCAAGGAAGAAAUUGUUCAGUUCUUCUCAGGAAAGUGCUUUAAGUCCUUUUUGUAAACUUGGGAAUGUAUCCACGGAAAGGAUUUUUCAUAGACGGAAUUUCCAGAAGUGAAUCAUAACUACUGUUAGAACAAGCAUGCAUGAUUGUGCUGUGUAGAUCAGUUUUGUUGAAAGUUUAGAUUGUUGUGUUUGUCAAUUAUAAUUUAAUGUUUCAGUUUUUAUAUGAAAUGUUUUAAAUGUAUACCUUUUUAAAUACUUGAAGUUCCAAUAACUUAAAGCAUUGAAAUAUAAAAUGAGGUAAAAGGUGUUUUGAAUUUAGUAAAACUGUUAUUUAAUGCUUAAAACUUAAUUGAAUUGUAUAAUUCUCAACAUUAAGUUGCAUAGAUGUGUUCUUAAGUUGUUGAAUUCUUAAUGCAUCCUGUGUUCAGCAAGUUUUUUUUUUAAUAUAUGCUGUACCACGGGUGUGUUAAGAAUAGUUAUACUUUAUAAUAAUGGAACUUCAUAUUAUUGCAAUGCAUAUUUAAAGAGUACUUGUUGAAAGCAUACCAUUCACCUAAAGUUAAAAAUUCUGGUUUAUUUAAAGCUAUAAGAAGAAUCA
rnacentral:sRNA from 1 species